rnacentral:lncRNA from 1 species
UCUAGAAACAAAAAGACAUUCAAAGAAGAUAAAGAGGCAAAUUUUUUUUAAAUGCUGAAAGGGAAUAGUUUCAUGCAAUGUAUGAUUAAUCUGCAGCUCUCCCUGCCACAAGAUGUUAUUGGGGUUGAGUGCAGGAUUUAAAAAAUAGUUAGACAUAUACAGGCUAAUAAAAAUGUACAUCGCCAUCUGUGAUGGCUGAAACUUAGAAAAACGUCCACAGAUUUUGUAGCAGAAAGCACAAAAUGCAGAUCAUGGUAACCUGGAAGUAACCCUUGCCUCAAAGGUGAAGGCAGUCCCCGCUGGACCGGGGCUCAUCAGUUUUACGCGCAAUUUACUGUCAAAGUUGAACUAACCAGGAGCGCCCUCAGGUCUCCAUGAGGCGUAGUGAGGAUUAUUCAGCAUGGACAGAUGGUGGGAGAAAGGUUCUUUCCAUCAGUUCACYGAAUUUGUCAUGAACACAUCACAAUGGACAACCAGACAGUGAAGAAUUUGCUCCUAUUUCUGCCUUCUACAGUCCUUCAUAAACUACCUUACCAUAAGACUAUAUAAUCUUACAAGCCAUUUCUAAAGCAUACAGAAGAUUAUGAGAGACUUUUUGAAAACCCUGAACAAACAAGAAGAUUGUUCCCAGGUACAGAGCGGCGGUCACACAAAAGCUGCCGGCCUCCCGCCGCGUGGGAGUCCCAGCACAUCGCGGACCUCUGCCGCAUUCGUAAAUGGCUCAUAAACUUCCCAUCGGCGAUGCUUUCCCCGAGCGGCCACCUUUUCUGUUAGAAAGUGAGGCUGCAGGUCGCGUGGACAGCACAGGGGAAAGGCAUGAAUAAUUCCAGGAGUAAA